AUGUCUUCCGCAAGCUCCUGCGCCACCUCGCGGAUGCAGAGCCAGGCGUGUGUGGAGAUUCCUAUCUUCGUCUGUCCGCGGUGCCGGGCGAGCGUUGAUCGGAGGGUUUCAACACCGAGGAACCACCAUCGUCCAUUCUACGUGUGCAGCGAGAAUGGGGUGGCAUGCUUCUUUCUUUGGGUCGAUGCUCUAGCCAAGACUAUGAUAAAUGAACUGCAAGAAGAGCAUGACAAAUGGUUGCGCAUGCUGCCCCAAACCGCAAUGGCCGCAGCACGAGCUCCGGAAGAAGAGAUGGAGGGGGCACGCACUGACAGAGAGCUAGCUGUUGAGCUUAGGAUGUUGAAUAAGAAGGUUAGGAAGCUUGAAGAUCAAGCACUACCAAUACCCAUUUGCAAAUACUUUUGGGCAUUUGUAGGUAUGGUAAUCACAUUGGUUGUAAUGUUGAAAAUGUAUGGAAAGGCAUGA
rnacentral:rRNA from 1 species